AUUGAACGCUGGCGGCAUGCCUAACACAUGCAAGUCGAGCGGAUGAACGGUGCUUUCUCCUGGUUUCAGCGGCGGACGGGUGAGUAAUGCCUAGGAAUCUGCUUCCUUGUGCGGUAUAACGUCCUGAAACGGGUGCUAAUACCGCAUACGUGCUGAUGGAGCAAGUGGGGGAUCUUCGGACCUCACGCUAUCAGAUGAGUCUAGGUCGGAUUGGCUAGUUGGUGGGGUAAAGAGCUACCAAGGCGGCGAUCGGUAACUGGUCUGAGAGGAUGAUCAGUCACACUAGAACUGAGACACGGUCCAGACUCCUACGGGAGGCAGCAGUGGGGAAUAUUGGGCAAUAGGCGAGAGCAUGGUCCAGCCGUGGCGCGUGUGUGAAGAAGGUCUUCGGAUUGUAAAGCACUUUAAGUUGGGAGGAAGGGCAGUAAGUUAAUACCUUGCUGUUGUGACAUUAACAGGAGAAUAAGCACCGGCUAACUACGUG
rnacentral:rRNA from 1 species